AGAUUUAACGGCCGCGGUACCCUAACCGUGCGAAGGUAGCAUAAUCACUUGUUCUUUAAAUGAGGACUAGUAUCAACGGCAUCACGAGGAUCCUACUGUCUCCCCCCUCUAAUCAGUGAAACUGAUCUCUCCGUGAAGAAGCGGGGAUAAUCCUAUAAGACGAGAAGACCCCAUGGAGCUUUAAACCCAACAGCACCCGCUUUUUACACACCCUCUUAUACACCCGGUGUCUGUCUGCUCGGUUUUAGGUUGGGGUGACCGCGGAGCAUAAGAUAGCCUCCAUGAGAGAAGGGGUAACCCUUAUUUAAGAACUACACUUCCAAGAACUAAAAAAUUAAUUUUAAAUGACCCGAUACUUAAUCGAUCAACGAACCAAGUUACCCUGGGGAUAACAGCGCAAUCCACCCCGAGAGCCCCUAUCGACAGGUGGGUUUACGACCUCGAUGUUGGAUCAGGGUAUCCCAGUGGUGCAGCAGCUACCAAAGGUUCGUUUGUUCAACGAUUAAAACCCU
rnacentral:rRNA from 1 species